AUUGAACGCUAGCGGCAGGCCUAACCCAUGCAAGUCGAGCGAGCGGCGGCCGGGUGAGUAAUGUCUGGGAAACUGCCUGAUGGAGGGGGUUAACUCCUGGAAAGGGUCGCUAAUACCGCAUACCAUCAGAUGUGCCCAGAUGGGAUUAGCUAGUAGGCGGGGUAACGGCUCACCUAGGCGACAUCCCCGAGUUGGUCUGAGAGGAUGACCAUCAACACUGGAACUGAGACACGGUCCAGAGUCCUACGGGAGGGAGCAGUGGGAAAUAUUGCACAAUGGGAGCAAGCCUGAUGCAGCCAUGCCGCGGGUAUGAAGAAGGCCGUCGGGUUGUAAAGUACGUGCAGCUGGGAGGCGUUACCCGCAGAAGAAGCACCGGCUAACUCCGUGCCAGCAGCCGCGGUAAUAC
rnacentral:rRNA from 1 species